ACAUGACCUAGAAACAUUACACAUAUCAGCCUAGUUCUUGGAACAAAGGCUUAGUUGAGUUGAGUUCCCUAAUAAAAUUACAAAGUUACAAAUCGCAAAAGUAUAAGAAUGGAACAAGUUAGGCUUAUGCAACAUUCUAUUAUUAGAACACGCCACAAUCAGUGAAGGAUAGGGGAUCCAUCUAAAAUAUCAUGAUAAACCAUUCAACAUCAACUCCAAAAAACAACCCAUUUGCAUACAUCAUUGCACAUGCUUCAAGAGUCAAGUCAAGUUUAUCAAAAAUUUUAAUUUGAGUUUCAAAUAGAAUACUACAUUUUAAACUGGAUUGCUUUACAGCUUCUAGAAGCACCAUGAAACGAUCACUGGAAGAGAUAAUCAAAAAGAAAUAUUAUUAGUUUUACUUGAGGAUCAGCCCGAAUCAAGUUAUGGAUAUAGUAAUGCAACAAACAAGUAGAAUAACGCAAAAUGGUUAAGCCAAUCAAGUUUACAGCUGUAAGUAGAAAAUAGAAGCAUACC
rnacentral:misc_RNA from 1 species